GAUGAACGCUGGCGGCGUGCCUAAUACAUGCAAGUCGAGCGAACGGACGAGAAGCUUGCUUCUCUGAUGUUAGCGGCGGACGGGUGAGUAACACGUGGAUAACCUACCUAUAAGACUGGGAUAACUUCGGGAAACCGGAGCUAAUAACGGAUAAUAUUCUCAACCGCAUGGUUCAAAAGUGAAAGACGGUCUUGCUGUCACUUAUAGAUGGAUCCGCGCUGCAUUAGCUAGUUGGUAAGGUAACGGCUUACCAAGGCAACGAUGCAUAGCCGACCUGAGAGGGUGAUCGGCCACACUGGAACUGAGACACGGUCCAGACUCCUACGGGAGGCAGCAGUAGGGAAUCUUCCGCAAUGGGCGAAAGCCUGACGGAGCAACGCCGCGUGAGUGAUGAAGGUCUUCGGAUCGUAAAACUCUGUUAUUAGGGAAGAACAUAUGUGUAAGUAACUGUGCACAUCUUGACGGUACCUAAUCAGAAAGCCACGGCUAACUACGUG
rnacentral:rRNA from 1 species